ACCUUGUCUUUACGUCUUAGGUAUGACGUUAACACGACCUAUAGGCACUGUUUCAAUUUAACUUGCUUAACUUGUGUUAUUACUGAUUAUAAUUAUAACGCACUCACCUUGUCCGGAAACACCGAAUAGGAUUUUCAGGUAGUGUUGUGGACGGUGAUAUAAAGAACUAUAGAAGUGUUAACCCAUUAACGGUAUGGCAACGUAAAUAAAACUUUUUUUGGAUAUUUUAAUUAAUUUCUUGUACUGUGUUUAUACUAUCAUGUCAUCGACAAAACUUCGGUGUAAAUGGGUUGAUCGCUAUAAAAAUAACCGCAAAAGAAUUAUUAAGUUAACGUUAGACAUUGUUAAUAUUCGGAACAAUCAAAUUAGUGUUGACUAUCC